UUUGCCCCUUGAGGCGUUGCAGCUCAGCCGUCCAUGUUGCAGCUGCGUCAUAAGGUGGCAGAAAGCAAAAAGGCGGUCGGUCAUCUGCCCUGGGUCGGCACAACAAUUAGGACUCGGCGUCUUGUUGACCGCCAACAUAUU
rnacentral:snoRNA from 1 species